rnacentral:rRNA from 1 species
CAAUGGCGUAAACANAGGGAAGCGAACCCGCAGGGGGAGCGAAUCCCAAAAAUAAACGUCCCAGUUCGGAUUGUAGUCUGCAACCCGACUACAUGAAGCCGGAAUCGCUAGUAAUCGCGGAUCAGAAUGCCGCGGUGAAUACGUUCCCGGGUCUUGUACACACCGCCCGUCACACCAUGGGAGUCGGAAAUGCCCGAAGCCGGUGGCCUAACCGAUAAGGGAGGAGCCGUCGAAGGCAGGUCUGAUGACUGGGGUGAAGUCGUAACAAGGUAGC